rnacentral:rRNA from 1 species
GACCUCGGAUCAGGAAGGGAUACCCCCCGAACUUACAGCAUAUCAUUAAGUG